AGAAGAAGAAGAAGAUCGCAACUCGCUGGCCACGAUCAAGAUGAAGAUGGCGGCCUCUGCACCCUCUCGUGUUGAACCCUCGUCCGAUCAAGAGAACGGCGACAACAGUCUGCAGAUCCAACAGCCAUUUUUCCUUCUCCAUAAAGCCGCCCCCGACAAAUCCGACCGGAAACCAUCCCGGAGAAGGAUCACCUCGUCUCCACCAUCCCCUAAUAAACCCGGCGCCGCCAAGUCGGUUGACGACGAUUACUCCGGGGAUCAUUCUCACGAGCACUUGCGAAUGGAGGCUUUCCAACAUGCCUGGUCUGAUGUCGAGGCUACAAUCGAGGGUGUCCUCCGGAGUAUCGACUCUGGUACAUUCGAGGCUAUAUAUUCCUGGAUCAGUGAGUCCUUCAGCAUUAUCAGGACGCAUGUUUCUUCUGGUUUUUCUGAAAUUUCGCGGUCUUUCCCGGCUGCAGUAGAGUCUGUCUCCAGAAGACUUUUUACCGGCCUCGUCCUCACCAAGAACAUGGAGCUGUUUGACGAUCUCAGGACAUUUGAAGAGCUUGGCCGAUUUUUGAGAUCCCAUGGAUGUCACGUCGCUAAUCUUUCUUCAUUGGAUUUCCUGGCCAAGAAUGGGAUUGGUGGUUGUAUCACAAGCUUACUCAGACAGUUUUUAGCUGCUAGUGUGGAUGCACCUGACAUGCUUACUUUGUCAUCAUGGUACAACGACCAAGUGAACAACGAUACCCCUAUUAUUUUGAUCAUAGAUGAUUUGGAGCGUUGUUGCGGGUCUGUCCUAUCGGAUUUCAUCCUUUUGUUAAGUGAGUGGGUAAUGAAGAUUCCGGUCGUCCUAAUCAUAGGAGUGGCAACAACGCCAGAUCGAUUGAGAAGCAUAAUUCAGUCUGAGGCGCUGCAGUGCUUGUGUCCUUUCAAGUUCAAUUUGGGGACUCUGGCAGAGAGGAUGGAUGCAGUUGUUGAGGCUAUUCUGGUGAAGCAGUGUCCUGGUUUCUUUAUUAGCCAUAAGGUGGCAGUUUUUAUGAGGAAUCAUUUUGCUAACCAUGGGGGAACAAUGAGUUCUUUUAUUAGAGCUCUUAAGAUAGCAUGUGUCCAACAUUUUUCUAUGGAGCCUUUUAGCUUUGUGCUCAGAGGGCUUAUUGAAGAAGAUAUACAGCGCAGCAAGCAGGGUUUGUUGCCGAAAGCCAUCUACAAUUGUGCUUCUAAUAUUUCACCUUGUGACAGGAAUAAAAUGGAUGAAGAAGCUGUUCAAAAACUGGUUCCUGAAAUCAUACAACUUAAGAGACUGCAUUUUUUGUGGAGCAUUGUGGUACUGUGUCUAUAUGAAGCUGGAAAGUAUGAUAAGCUCCACCUGCUAGACUUACUGUGCGAGGCACUCGAUCCGGAGGUUUAUGCAUCAAGGGUUCCAGGUUCUUUUACUCAAGAGACUAGACAUACAAAAGCAUCAUCUCCAAAUGAUUGUUUUACACAUCAGCAUAAUUUUACCAUGAGAAAGGGUGGAUUUAUCUCUCGAGCAAUGCGGAAAGUGAGGGAUCUUGCUGAAUCACACCUUCUUUCAUUGCUUAAGAAGUGGGAAAGACAUACUGCAGAUAUUAGUGAGAUCCAUGAAAAGGUGAAGGAGUUGCAACAUAUGUUGAAAUUUGAGGAUUGCCAGCAGCUUAAAAAAGAUUCUAUGGAGAUUGCCAAGAUACAUGGACUGCAAAGCAAAUCAAAUCUGGGAAGAGUUACGAAAAGAGUCAAUGAUAAAGCUGCCAGCUUUCUUGCAUACCUGAUCGAGAAGUAUAUGCAGCCCAUUGAAUGCGUGCCUUUUCAUGAGAUUGUUUGCUUUAAGAAUGUCAAGAAACUUCAAAUGGCUUUAGUUGGAGACUCAAGAAGACGGAUUCAGGUUGAUCUUUUGGAAUCCCACAAAAUUCUCAGUUGUAGUUGCUGCAGGAACAAUAAUAUCCUAUUGCCAUCCAUGCAUGAUACAUCAAUCAUCUUCCAUUCAUCAAAGAUUAGAAUAUGUGCAUUUGCUGUCCCAGGUAUAGUUCAUGCCAGGAGCAUGGCGAUCUCGUCAAUCUCCACGAUUGGUACCAUUCUUUCAAAAGGAUUCUUCUAUUCCCAAACAGUAAAAGGAGGCACAAAUUGAAGCAGUCCCCUCUCUCGAAGAAACAAAAGUUUACUGAUGAUUCUGAAAAGCUGAGUGAAGUGGCGAUACAGUCAAGGUUUUGCAGGGGAGUUACAGAACUUCAGAUUGCUGGGUUGCUCCGGAUGCAAAGUAAAAGAAGACCGGAUUUUGUGCAGAGAGUGGCAUUCGGACUUUGAUAUUUGCUGUUUGUCUGUUCCUGUUUGGUGUGCUUCUCAGUUGAUAAUCAAAUUUCCCAAUUUACCUAUUUGUGGGGGAAAUCACAAAUGAGAAGCAUUUGUACGAUUAUUGAUAAUGUCAGAGAAAGGCUGCCUUCUAGUUUUGAGAUCAGGUUUGAGGCUGGAUUGGCGUGGAACCGGUUCUUAGUCAAAAUAGAUGAGAUUAAAGUUGAAUCUUGUUUUG